rnacentral:rRNA from 1 species
GGGUCAGUAGGUUGGUCGUGCCACCGGUACGUACUGGUCUCACUGGUUCCUGCUUCCUGAAGAACCGUAAUGCCAUUAAUUUGGUGUUGCGGGGAAACAGGACUGGUACUUUUAAAAAAUUAGAGUGUUUAAAGCAAGCUAACGCUUGAAUACAUUAGCAUGGAAUAAUGAAAUAGGACGAUCGAUCCUAUUUUGUUGGUUUCUAGGAUUGACGUA